UUUAUUUUAUUUUUAAUUGUCGUUUGAAUUUUCAUUUUUGGAUUUUCAGUUUUCGAAUUCUAAUUUUUUUGGAUUUUCAUUUUUCAAUUUUCGUUUCUGAAUUUUCGUUUUUGGAUUUUCGUUUUUCAAUUUUCAAUUUUUUAAUUUUCGCUUUUUAAAUUUUCAGUUUCAUAAUUUUCGUUUUUUGAAUUUUCAUUUUUGGUUUUAAAUUUUCAGUUUUUGAAUUAUCGCUUUUUAAAUUUUUAGUUUUUGAGUUUUUGUUUUCAGUUUUCGUUUUUGGAUCUUCGUUUUCGCUGUUGUUUUGGUUUGGGUUUUUGGAUCUGUUGUUUUGGUUUGGGUGGGUCUGUUCGUGGGGUUGUUCGGGGAGGGUGGUGCUUUCCGGCUCGUUACAGUAUUGAAAGAAGUGGACUUCAAUACUGUAUGUAAACCUGAUCUCUAUGUUUAUUUGGAAGUCUGUUUAGUGUUUACAGGUGGUUUUCUAACUUCUUAUUUUGUUGGUGCAGGCAACUCUAUCUGAUAUACUCCGACUGCUUGAUGGAUAGUUCGUUGUUGUUACAUUCAAAUUAAAAGCUAAUGUCAUCGUCGGUGCGGUUUUUCCUCGGCAACCUCCUCUUUGUGAAUGUUUGUUUGAGUUUGAUAGGAUGACUUUGGAAAGGUUGAAGAUUGAAGAUUUGUAUAUUGAAGAAGAAAUGAUUUCUUUCUAAUGUAUUAGAUAGAUUUUUUGUUAUUAUUUAUUUGAGGUUGUAAAUUAUUCACAAAUUUUGAUUUAUCAUUUCUAUUUAUAUUGUAAUUACUUUUAUUACAUAUAAUAAUAAUAAUAAUAAUAAUAAUAAUAAUAAUAAUAAUAAUAAUAAUAAU